CAGAUGGUGUCUUUAUUUGACUUGGGGUCCUUGAGCCAUGCCACAUAGUCUGUGCUAACAAUGUGAUUUAUGGUGGGGGCCUUGAGUCAGGCAGUAUAGGCUUGACCUCUGGAGGUGCUAGAAACUAAGGUCAGCUAUGUGGGUGGUUAUCCCCCAAUAAAAACCCCAGACACCAAGGCUCAGGUGAGUUUCCUGGUUGGCAAUACUCAAUGCACAUAGUCACAUAUUAUUGCUAGGAGAAAUAAGCAUUGCUUGCACAACUCCACCAGGAGAAGACCACUGGUAACUCUGUCUGGUCUCUCCCGGACCAUGCUUUAUGUGCCUUUUCUUGGUGUUGAUUUUAAUCUGUGUCCUUUCACUGUAAUAAACUAUAAUUGUGGGUAAACAGCUUUGCUGAAUUCUGUGAGUCCUUCUAUAGCAGUAUUGAACCUGAGAGUAGCCUUGGAAGCUCCUGACUACUACUGACUAACCACUACAUUGUUAACUUUUAUAGGUUUUCAUUUGUCAUGUUUUUUCCCCAGCAGAAAGAUGUCAUUGAGAAGAUAUAGCAUCCACUAAUGUAAGAAUAAGUUUCAUAUAAAAAAUACCCGAUCUUGUCACACAAGAAAGUUCAUUUUAUCAGGCAUGAUUAAGAGAUAUCAUGAAAUUACAACUCAACAAUGAUUUACAGCACAGGCUUUUCACAACUAAGAGACUGUCCAUCAUGGUGCCAGUUUUUCUCAAAAUGGCAUGUGUGCAUGAAAUUCUACAGGCAUAUGGGGUCGUGAUCUGCUAAUCUCCAGUUAUUAUACAAAACUACAGAUACUUGAAAACACAAUGAAAUAAAAAUUCUAGCAGAAGAAGACAAUAUAUGAAAUUUAAUAAUUCGUUUCCUGGGAAUGACAGCAGAAUGGUGAUGACAGAGGAAAGAGCCAAUAAAAUUUGAAGACAGACUACUUUGAAAGAGACUUUCCAGCUAUCAGUACACUAUCUCGCAAUUACCCUUGAACCAGAAGACAAUAAAUGAUUUGCUAAACAGAUGGCAUAGUCCUAUGACAUGCAUCAUAUGUGUGAGCAAUCACAGAAGGUAUGACUUUUCUCAUGGAAUA